AUCAGCGUCUAGAAAUGAACUCAAGAUGUUACCACAGGGAAUAUUCAACAACUUGAAAGAUUUAAAGGACCUGUCGUUAUACGACAACAAACUGCAAAACCUUUCCUCUACGAUAUUUGGUAACCUUACCUCCCUGACGAAACUGUCCUUUUCCGUCAACCAGCUCAGUCACCUACCACCGAAUAUUUACAAAGAAAAUAAAAAC